rnacentral:rRNA from 1 species
AGAAUGAACGCUGGCGGCAUGCCUAACACAUGCAAGUCGAACGAGACCUUCGGGUCUAGUGGCGCACGGGUGCGUAACGCGUGGGAAUCUGCCCUUAGGUACGGAAUAACUCAGGGAAACUUGUGCUAAUACCGUAUGAUGUCGAGAGACCAAAGAUUUAUCGCCUAGGGAUGAGCCCGCGUAGGAUUAGCUAGUUGGUGGGGUAAAGGCCUACCAAGGCUACGAUCCUUAGCUGGUCUGAGAGGAUGAUCAGCCACACUGGGACUGAGACACGGCCCAGACUCCUACGGGAGGCAGCAGUGGGGAAUAUUGGACAAUGGGCGAAAGCCUGAUCCAGCAAUGCCGCGUGAGUGAAGAAGGCCUUCGGUUGUAAGCUCUUUUACCCGGGAAGAUAAUGACUGUACCGGGAGAAUAAGCUCCGGCUAACUCCGCGCCAGCAGCCGC